GCCAGGUGUGGUGGCUCAUGCCUGUAAUUUUAGCUACUCAGGAGGCUGGGGUAGGAGGAUCACUUGAGCCCAGGAGCUCAAGGCUGCAGUGAGCUAGGAUCGCACCACUGCACUCCAGCCUGGGCAACAGAGUGAGACUCUGUCUCAA
rnacentral:sRNA from 1 species